UACAGAGGUCUCAAGCGUUGUUCGGAUUCAUUGGGCGUAAAGGGUGCGUAGGCGGCGUGGUAAGUCGGGUGUGAAAUCUCGGAGCUUAACUCCGAAACUGCAUUCGAUACUGCCGUGCUUGAGGACUGGAGAGGAGACUGGAAUUUACGGUGUAGCGGUGAAAUGCGUAGAUGUCGUAAGGAAGACCAGUGGCGAAGGCGGGUCUCUGGAAAGUUCCUGACGCUGAGGCACGAAGGCCAGGGGAGCAAACGGG
rnacentral:rRNA from 1 species